GUCUAUGGCCAUACCACCCUGAAUGUGCCUGAUCUCAUCUGAUCAUGAAAGCUAAACAGGGUAAGGCCUGGUUAGUACUUGGAUGGAAGACAGAUCUUCAAAAAAGUCUGCUCAGAGACAAGCAAUUUGAAGACA
rnacentral:rRNA from 1 species